rnacentral:tRNA from 1 species
UGGCUCAGUUGGUAAAGUAUGGUGUUUGCAACGCCAGGGUUGUGGGUUCGAUUCCCAC